rnacentral:lncRNA from 1 species
CUCUUCUAGCGGGUGUUGAAGGUUACAUUUAACAGUGUGACAGCACUAUGUUUUAAGAAGCCCUGAAUGCUACUGGAAGAGGAUGUUACCGAAAAAUAAAAUUCCAAACCAGAUGUUACCUUAAAUGAAGAAUAGAAUCUCCAUAUCGGUUGUUUUGACCAUGUAAACACUGUUCUUCAAAUUUUAUUAAAUUGGAAGUCUCAUUGAUUUUUCCCUCACAGACUGUCCAGAAAGUGCAUCAGAAAAUGAGGGAAACUGAGCCCAGCAUUUCAUGGGUCCCAACAGAGGGACACGUCUUUGUGGCUGUCUGUUAGUCAAUGCAAAGUGACUGAGCCUGACAUUCACACUGAAGGAGCGAUCUGCUUGGACCCCGGGUGCCUUGCUCAGGGGAGUCAAGCCUUCAUGAGAUGGGCAGUGGAGAGCCUGCUCUUCCAGCAGUGCCCAGUUUCAGUGGAUUCCUCCUUUAGCCACGCUUAUCGAACACUUAAGAAGGACAUGUUUUGCAGAGGGCUUGAAAACACAUCUUGAAUGCUCUGUGGAAUAUAUCAUUUUCCUUCACUUUUGCACCUUCCUGAAACUGCAGACUUCAAAGCACACUGACCUGCUCAGGUUUCACUACUUACUGUUUCAUGACUUUACAUGUGGAUUUACCUCCCUUUCCUUAACUAUGAAACGAGAACUCCUUCCAGUCUUAACUCCACAGGAUCUUUACCCCUUUAAAAGAACCUGA